rnacentral:rRNA from 1 species
GGCGAACGGGUGAGUAACACGUAAGCAACCUACCUCUAAAUUCGGAAUAACCUUGCUAACGCNAGGCUAAUACCGGAUGUGAUCAUAGAAACUCAUGUUUUCAUGAUUAAAGGUGACCUCUAUUUAUAAGUUACUGUUUAGAGAUGGGCUUGCGGCCCAUUAGCUAGUUGGUGAGGUAACGGCCCACCAAGGCUUCGAUGGGUAGCCGACCUGAGAGGGUGUACGGCCACAUUGGGACUGAGAUACGGCCCAGACUCCUACGGGAGGCAGCAGUAGGGAAUUUUGCGCAAUGGACGAAAGUCUGACGCAGCAACUCCGCGUGAGGGAUGAAUGCCUUCGGGUUGUAAACCUCUGUUGAGUGGGAAGAAAGUGUCCUGUGUUAAUAUUGCAGGGCAUUGACGGUACCAUUCGAGGAAGCUCCGGCUAACUACGUGCCAGCAGCCGCGGUAAUACGUAGGGAGCAAGCGUUGUUCGGAAUCACUGGGCGUAAAGGGAGCGUAGGUGGAAAGGUAAG